rnacentral:lncRNA from 1 species
UUUGUUUAAAACUGGUAAUCUAACAAUCAGUUUAAAUCUUAAGAUAUCAUUAUCAUCUAUACCACACUCAAAAAGAAAUAUUACACUAUAUGUCUCUUUUAACUUGGAAAACUAUACAAACAGUCUUUAUAGUAAUAAACUAGUUCUCUUCUGAUGUAGACCAAAACAUAAGCUGCUUGACAGGCGCUCAAUAUUUAUCCAUAAUUGUUUUAAAAACUGGAAUUUUGAACAGUCCACUAUUAAUUGUAAUAGAUUAUCUUCAAAGUUAAAUAACUCAUCCGCAAG